GCUUAAAGUCUCAGAGAACAAGACGUUGUGACUGAUAAGACCCAAUCAGGACGAGAAAUGUUGGCGUCAGUGUCGGCGUCACCAAAGGUCUCCGUUUGGAGCCGUUGAGACCGAAACACAACCCCGCAGAUGCCAAACCAAAACGGGUCAGAAGGGUUUCCUAAUGUCUCCGGU